UUUUCGUAUACGUGAAAUUUAGUGCGCAGCGCGCGAGUUGAAAAUGCAGGAGUGUGUUGUCAAAGAUUUUAGUGACGAUGACGAUGAGUUGCUGUCUAGGGCAAUAGAGAAUUAUGAAACCACUUCAAACCCUAUCACAAACAAUGCUGAACGUGUUAUUCCUGUUGUUACUAGUGAAGGUGAACUUGGAUCUCCCCUGUCAAGGUUUAGACCAGGAUAUCUGUGGGUAUCUGACCUGACUAGACAGAACUGGUGUGAGCAACAGUUGUACUAUAGCUUCACAGUGCCUUCAGUAGUGGAAGAAAAUCCCGUCAUGACUGAAGGUUCCAGCCUUCAUCUAGCAAGAGAACUGGCUGUCCAUGAUGUAGUUCAAGUGAAAGUUACAUCAAAUGAAGACAUUUGGGCAAUCAAAGUAUUGAACCUACUAUCAUCACUGGUAUCUCUUCUCAAUGGGCAGACCAUUGCUAGAGAGGUACCAAUAUUUGGGGCUCCUUUUAAUGAGGAUGUGUUUAUUGUGGGACUGAUUGAUGAACUUCGAUUUGAUCCUUCGUCUUUCCAGUUAGAUUUAUGGGAAUUUAAGACACGUAAAUAUAAAUCUAUGCCAUCUAAAUCACAGCAAGCACAGCAUAGAUUACAAGUUAUGCUGUAUAAGAAACUGUUUGAUGAUUUAGUAAAGGGGAAAUUGUCCAGAGAAGUGAUUGCAAAACAUUUGAAAUUGGAUUUGAAUAGAACUUUCGGAAGUGAUAUUCAAGAAACAAUAGAUGGUAAAGGUAUGACAGGUACAAAUCUUCACCAACUGUUAGAUGUGCUGUUUCAUAGAAUACAAUGCAUUACAUGCAUCAGGGAAAUUGGAAUAGAAUAUGAACAUCAAAGUAGUAAGGAAUCUAUAGGGAUACACAGUGUUGAUUAUAAUGAUGAAGAACUGGUAAUGUUGUUUCGAGAUUAUCUCCAAUUUUGGCGAGGUCAGAGGGAAGUUAGGGGUGUGGACAUAGAGGAAGCAUGGAAAUGUCAGUCAUGUGACUUUGCUGAUGUGUGUGAUUGGAGGAAACUCAAAGCAGAACAAUAUUCCAAAGUUGGAAAUAGUAAAAGUAAAGUUACUCAUAAAUAAGUUCACAUGAUGUUCUGGAACUGGAAAUAUAAAGCAAGUCCCAAUGAGUGUCAUUUAUUGAUACAUAAGUUACCAGCCCUGGCAUUUUCUAUAUAUGUGAACUUGAAGUAGGCCCAAAUUAAUGACUUGUUAGUUACCAGCUCUGGCAUUCUGGAAGUGUGAAUACAAAGCAAGCCCACUCAAAAAAGUUACCAGCUCAAACAUUCUGGAAGUGUGAAGACAAAGCAAGCCCACACAAAGAAGUUACCAGCUCAAACAUUCUGGAAGUGUGAAUACAAAGCAAGCCCACUCAAAAAAGUUACCAGCUCAAACAUUCUGGAAGUGUGAAGACAAAGCAAGCCCAAAGUAAUGACUUAUAAGGUAACCUGCUCUGACAUUCUUGAAGUGUGAAGGCAAAGCAAGCAGAAAUUUAACUCCUGAGUUACCUUUUCUGGCAUUUUUGAAGAGUGAUAACAAAGCAAGCCCUGUGAAGACGAAACAGCCCAAAUAAAUGGCUAAUAAGUUGCUAGCUCAGGCACUAUGGAAGUGUGAAGACAAAGCAAGACCAUAUUGAUGACUCCUAAGUUACCUGUUGUGGCAUCCUGGAUGUGUGAAGACAAAGUAAUUCCAAGUAAAUUACUCUCCAGUUACCUGUUGUGGUAUUCUAAAGAAGUUGAGACAAAGCAAGCUCAAGUGUGAAGAAAAUGGGACCCAUAAGCUACCAAUCCUGUCAUUCUGAAUUGUGUGAAGAUGAAGCAAGCCCAGAUUAAUGCCUCCUUAGUUACCAGCUCAGACAUUCAAGAAAAGUGGACAAAGCAAGCCCAAAUUAAUGACUCAUUUAUAAGUUUAAGUCUCAGGCAUUCUGAAAGUGUGGAGACAAAGAAAGCUCAAUUGUAAUUUAUACAACUCCAAAGUUACCUGUUGUGGCAUUCUGAAGUUGUGAAGACAAAGUGAUCAAUAAGAAAUCAAGCCUGUCAGUUUGAAAGUGUGAUGAUGAAGUAAGCCCAAAAUUAAUGACUCAUAAGUUAUCAUCACAAGCAUUCUGGAAUAGUGAAGAUGAAGUAAGUCGAAAACCUAGUGACAUUUUGGUGUGAAGUUGAGCAAAUCCAAAUAAGUGACUCAUAGUGAGAUGUGAAUGUAAAGUAAGUGUGGAAGGACUAUAGGUAAAGUAAGCUGCAGUAACAUCUCAGUGAUGUAGAAGAAAGGGCAAAGUAAAAUAACACGCUGACGCUAAACAUAUUAGAGGAUGUUGAAGUAAUGGUGCAAACAUCAGAAAAUGAACUUGCAGUGUUUGGGAAGGCAUUCAUUGGGUUACCUUUGGAACAUUACAAUAUGGACAGUAUGAUAGGCAAGGAGGCCAUUGUUUACAACGGUGUGCUAGGACUUUUAGAGUUGGGGACUUGCAUACACCUCAUUUAUACAGUGGUGAAAAGUUUAUUCCCUUAGGUGAGACAUAGACACACAUACAUGAAAAAAAACUUAUUAUAAACAUUAGUGAAAUUGAAUGAUAACGGAUGUACCAUAUCAGAAAUCAUGGUCAUUAUUUAUAGAAAGAUGUUUACAUGUGGUAG
rnacentral:misc_RNA from 1 species